rnacentral:rRNA from 1 species
UACGUAGGGUGCGAGCGUUAAUCGGAAUUACUGGGCGUAAAGCGUGCGCAGGCGGCUUUGCAAGACAGAUGUGAAAUCCCCGGGCUUAACCUGGGAACUGCAUUUGUGACUGCAUGGCUGGAGUGCGGCAGAGGGGGAUGGAAUUCCGCGUGUAGCGGUGAAAUGCGCAGAUAUCAGGAAGAACACCCGUGGCGAAGGCGGCUCUCUGGGACGGUACUGACGCUGAGACGCGAAAGCGUGGGGAGCGAACAGG